rnacentral:rRNA from 1 species
AUGAACGCUAGCUACAGGCUUAACACAUGCAAGUCGAGGGGCAGCAUGGUCUUAGCUUGCUAAGGCCGAUGGCGACCGGCGCACGGGUGAGUAACACGUAUCCAACCUGCCGUCUACUCUUGGACAGCCUUCUGAAAGGAAGAUUAAUACAAGAUGGCAUCAUGAGUCCGCAUGUUCACAUGAUUAAAGGUAUUCCGGUAGACGAUGGGGAUGCGUUCCAUUAGAUAGUAGGCGGGGUAACGGCCCACCUAGUCUUCGAUGGAUAGGGGUUCUGAGAGGAAGGUCCCCCACAUUGGAACUGAGACACGGUCCAAACUCCUACGGGAGGCAGCAGUGAGGAAUAUUGGUCAAUGGGCGAGAGCCUGAACCAGCCAAGUAGCGUGAAGGAUGACUGCCCUAUGGGUUGUAAACUUCUUUUAUAAAGGAAUAAAGUCGGGUAUGCAUACCCGUUUGCAUGUACUUUAUGAAUAAGGAUCGGCUAACUCCGUGCCAGCAGCCGCGGUAAUACGGAGGAUCCGAGCGUUAUCCGGAUUUAUUGGGUUUAAAGGGAGCGUAGAUGGAUGUUUAAGUCAGUUGUGAAAGUUUGCGGCUCAACCGUAAAAUUGCAGUUGAUACUGGAUAUCUUGAGUGCAGUUGAGGCAGGCGGAAUUCGUGGUGUAGCGGUGAAAUGCUUAGAUAUCACGAAGAACUCCGAUUGCGAAGGCAGCCUGCUAAGUUGCAACUGACAUUGAGGCUCGAAAGUGUGGGUAUCAAACAGGAUUAGAUACCCUGGUAGUCCACACGGUAAACGAUGAAUACUCGCUGUUUGCGAUAUACUGCAAGCGGCCAAGCGAAAGCGUUAAGUAUUCCACCUGGGGAGUACGCCGGCAACGGUGAAACUCAAAGGAAUUGACGGGGGCCCGCACAAGCAGUGGAGUAUGUGGUUUAAUUCGAAGCAACGCGAAGAACCUUACCAGGACUUGACAUCCCACGCAUAGCCUAGAGAUAGGUGAAGUCCUUCGGGACGUGGAGACAGGUGGUGCAUGGUUGUCGUCAGCUCGUGUCGUGAGAUGUUGGGUUAAGUCCCGCAACGAGCGCAACCCUUACUGUUAGUUGCUACGCAAGGGCACUCUAGCAGGACUGCCGUUGACAAAACGGAGGAAGGUGGGGAUGACGUCAAAUCAUCAUGCCCCUUAUGACCUGGGCUACACACGUACUACAAUGGCGUUUAACAAAGAGAAGCAAGACCGCGAGGUGGAGCAAAACUCAAAAACAACGUCUCAGUUCAGAUUGCAGGCUGCAACUCGCCUGCAUGAAGUCGGAAUUGCUAGUAAUCGCGGAUCAGCAUGCCGCGGUGAAUACGUUCCCGGGCCUUGUACACACCGCCCGUCACACCAUGAGAGUCGAUAACACCCGAAGCCUGUAGUCUAACCGUAAGGGGGACGCAGUCGAAGGUGGGAUUGAUAAUUAGGGUG